rnacentral:rRNA from 1 species
UUCCGUAGGUGAACCUGCGGAAGGAUCAUUCACACGAAUCCAAAUCAAACCACCUAACCUCGUCCGGGGUCCGCGCCACCGUGUCCCUCCGAGGACCUGGCGCGGGUCCUAAAGGCACCUUCCGUUCUCCAGCGACGGGGUGCGGGGCCUGACACCCUCCGCACCCUUGGGGAGCCCUGGCUGGCGUCCAGCAGGGUAGGAUUGUGCCGUGUCGUCGAACCACGUAUCCAAACUGAGUCUAAUCUGAAAGCAUUAAACUUUCAGCGAUGGAUGCCUCGGCUUGAGCACUGAUGAAGGACGCAGCGAAAUGCGAUACGCAUUGUGAAUUGCAGAAUUCCGUGAGUCAAUAGGUAUCUGAACGCAUUCUGCGCUCUCGGGAUCUUCCCGUGAGUACAUCUGCUUCAGUGUUUCCGAACCCUCCUGCCAGCUGCAAUGCGUGGCUGUGCGUUUCUGUGCGCAAACGGGACUACCCGCUUGCGCAUUAAAAGCUUUAUGGACCGGGCGUCGCUCUCAGGUUGGUCACCUCGCGUGUCUUAAUUGAGAGCCGGUGCCUGCCGUCGUCAUGCAGCCAACCUCGGAACCGAACCUGAAGUCAGGUGGAGCUACCCGCUGAACUUAAGCAUAUCAAU